rnacentral:pre_miRNA from 1 species
UCUUAGGGAUGAGCAAAUUAAGUGGUUUCUUGAGAUGGAAUCUAUUUCUGAUGAAGAAGCUGUGAA